rnacentral:rRNA from 1 species
GUACUCGAGCGGCGAACGGGUGAGUAACACGUGAGUAAUCUGCCCCUGGCUUUGGGAUAGCCACCGGAAACGGUGAUUAAUACCGGAUAUGACCAUGUCACGCAUGUGGUGUGGUGGAAAGUUUUUCGGCCAGGGAUGUGCUCGCGGCCUAUCAGCUUGAUGGUGAGGUAAUGGCUCACCAUGGCUUCGACGGGUAGCCGGCCUGAGAGGGUGACCGGUCACACUGGGACUGAGACACGGCCCAGACUCCUACGGGAGGCAGCAGUGGGGAAUAUUGGACAAUGGGCGGAAGCCUGAUCCAGCAACGCCGCGUGAGGGAUGACGGCCUUCGGGUUGUAAACCUCUUUCAGCAGGGACGAAGCGCAAGUGACGGUACCUGCAGAAGAAGCACCGGCCAACUACGUGCCAGCAGCCGCGGUAAUACGUAGGGUGCGAGCGUUGUCCGGAAUUAUUGGGCGUAAAGGGCUCGUAGGCGGUUUGUCGCGUCGGGAGUGAAAACGCCGUGCUUAACACGGCGCUUGCUUUCGAUACGGGCAGACUAGAGGUAUUCAGGGGAGAACGGAAUUCCUGGUGUAGCGGUGAAAUGCGCAGAUAUCAGGAGGAACACCGGUGGCGAAGGCGGUUCUCUGGGAAUGACCUGACGCUGAGGAGCGAAAGUGUGGGGAGCGAACAGGAUUAGAUACCCUGGUAGUCCACACCGUAAACGUUGGGCGCUAGGUGUGGGGUCCAUUCCACGGAUUCCGUGCCGCAGCUAACGCAUUAAGCGCCCCGCCUGGGGAGUACGGCCGCAAGGCUAAAAC